AGUCUUGAGUACAGUAGAGGUGGGCGGAAUUCGUGGUGUAGCGGUGAAAUGCUUAGAUAUCACGAAGAACUCCGAUUGCGAAGGCAGCUCACUAGACUGCAACUGACACUGAUGCUCGAAAGUGUGGGUAUCAAACAGGAUUAGAUACCCUGGUAGUCCACACAGUAAACGAUGAAUACUCGCUGUUUGCGAUAUACAGUAAGCGGCCAAGCGAAAGCAUUAAGUAUUCCACCUGGGGAGUACGCCGGCAACGGUGAAACUCAAAGGAAUUGACGGGGGCCCGCACAAGCGGAGGAACAUGUGGUUUAAUUCGAUGAUACGCGAGGAACCUUACCCGGGCUUAAAUUGCAUUUGAAUAAUCUGGAAACAGGUUAGCCGCAAGGCAAAUGUGAAGGUGCUGCAUGGUUGUCGUCAGCUCGUGCCGUGAGGUGUCGGCUUAAGUGCCAUAACGAGCGCAACCCUUAUCUUUAGUUACUAACAGGUUAUGCUGAGGACUCUAGAGAGACUGCCGUCGUAAGAUGUGAGGAAGGUGGGGAUGACGUCAAAUCAGCACGGCCCUUACGUCCGGGGCUACACACGUGUUACAAUGGGGGGUACAGAAGGCAGCUACCUGGCGACAGGAUGCUAAUCCCAAAAACCUCUCUCAGUUCGGAUCGAAGUCUGCAACCCGACUUCGUGAAGCUGGAUUCGCUAGUAAUCGCGCAUCAGCCACGGCGCGGUGAAUACGUUCCCGGGCCUUGUACACACCGCCCGUCAAGCCAUGGGAGCCGGGGGUACCUGAAGUACGUAACCGCAAGGAUCGUCCUAGGGUAAAACUGGUGACUGGGGCUAAGUCGUAACAAGGUAGCCGUACCGGAAGGUGCGGCUG
rnacentral:rRNA from 1 species